CCUACGGGAGACAGCAGUGGGGAAUAUUGCACAAUGGGGGAAACCCUGAUGCAGCAACGCCGCGUGAGUGAAGAAGUAUUUCUGUAUGUAAAGCUCUAUCAGCAGGGAAGAAGAUGACGGUACCUGAAUAAGAAGCCCCGUCUAACUACGUGCCAGCAGCCGCGGUAAUACGUAGGGUGCAAGCGUUAUCCGGAUUUACUGGGUGUAAAGGGAGCGCAGACGGCAGUGCAAGUCUGGAGUGAAAGCCCGGGGCGCAACCCCGGAACUGCUCUGGAAACUGUGCGGCUAGAGUACUGGUGGGGCAGGCGGAAUUCCUGGUGUAGCGGUGAAAUGCGUAGAUAUUAGGAGGAACACCAGUGGCGAAGGCAGCCUGCUGGACAGUAACUGACGUUGAGGCACGAAAGCGUGGGGAGCAAACAGGAUUAGAUACCCGAGUAGUC
rnacentral:rRNA from 1 species